ACCGUAGAAAUCAUUUCACCAGUUUCUCUGCACGAAUACCGAGAGAAACCGAGCGGUGUUCUUCGUGUUCUUCAUAAUCAAACGAAGAUUUGAAGGUGUUAUUGGAAUCCGAUGGAGGCGUAUGAAUAGUCAAAACGAAGCUAUCGACGCGUAGAAUCUAGUUUAAUCAUCCGUUUGUGUGCAGAUUCAACAGGAUUUGGACGAGACGUGUACGCUCGAAGACGUCAGGAAGUCGAAAUGGUAUUGCAAAGCGAAUAAGGGAUGAAUCGAGUAAGCGAAGCGAAGAUGUACGGUAGAUAGAGUAUAGCCAGAGAUGGUCUAGAGACUAUGAGAUGCAUAGAUUGUGAAAGUGGAAAGAUGAGAUUGAGAUGUGAGACUGGAGUCAGAUUUAAGGCAAGUAUCCUACACCCUGCUUUUGGAUAUAUUGCAUAUUCUGAUCCAUUCUUUUCUAUAUGUGCUGCAAGUAUCCUAAACCUUUCUCGUGGAUAUAUUGCAAAUAUUCUGAUCCAUUCCUUUGGUCUAUGUUUCAAGUAUUCAUACUUUUCUUUUCAAUGUUCCGAAAUGCGAGUAUUCUGACCCAUUCUUUCUAAUCUUCAAGUUUCUAAAGAAUUUCCGUUUUACAAAUUAAUUCGAAGUUCAGAUUGUCAUUGAAGCAUGUGUUGCUCAGUGAUAGUUAGUGCUUUGAAUGAAUUGGGAUCUUCUUGAUUAUUCAACCCGCCAUUGUCAUGCUGGUUUAGCAGGCUAAAUUCAGUUGCUUAGCCGAUAAUGGAGGAUACUGAAUAGUUGAGGAUUUCCUGAACUGUGAUUUAUGAAAUGAUGGAUCAUGAUUUAUGAAUAGAUUAUUAUCAAAGUUUGAUUUGAAAUUAUUCCGUUGUUGAAGAUAUUUAUGAUGAUGUUGUGUUGAUUUACAUUGACUUCUUGAAUUGAAUUAGAGAAUUGGAUUAUUGUUUUUAUAUAAACCUGUGGACCAGAUUCGUGGUCAUGUUAGGCCAAUGAGUGCCUUGGAUCCAGUGAUAGAGCAUGGCGGGGCCUGCUCGGGGUUAGUGCGGAACUGAUCAGCUGCCUAACCUUGGUUUUUUUUAAUUAAAAUGUGAUAGUCCAAUUCAAUAAUUCUCUUGUGAAGGAUUGAAUUCCUCAGGUUUCUAUUGCUGCAAGGUAUUGUGAUUCUUUUAUACAAUACCUGAAUUUGUGAACUCAAGUUGAAUCUUUUUAUAUCUUGAACUCAAGAAUUUCUGUUAUAUCACUUCAGAACUUUCAUUGUUUAUUAUUACUUGCUGAGCAUUGUUGCUCACCCUUGCUAUUCCUUUCUAACCAUUUCAGAAAGGCUAAAAGAUGAGAUGAUUGAUUGAGAUUGUGAAUAAGGCAAAUGCUAGGCGAGGAGACAGAGUUGAGGAUCCAGUGGUCGAGGAGUGUUCAGGAAAGUUGAUGUGGUUGGUGCAAGCUAGAGCUGUGCUAUAGGGAUUCAAGUGUAAGUCAUAGCUGGAAUAGUUGACAGUGAUUCUUCUUAUCGAAGAUGAUCUGAUUUGGUAAGAAAUGUUGUGUAAUAUUAGUGGUGGAUUCUAAUUUCAAUACUGUAACCUGGAUGCGAUCCUGUUGUUUUAGGGGGUGAAAAUGUUCUCAUUCAAAUCUUUUAUUAAAUGUUUUCAAGUUUUAAA